rnacentral:lncRNA from 1 species
UUUCUUUGUACGUAUACAUCUGAAAUAUAUUUGUUUAAAUUAACGUAGCGAUUUAACUGUUUAAUUUUAAACUAUCUGUUAUGGAGAUGACCUACUUUUGCACUGAAAGCAUGAAAGGGAGAUAAUAAAUCUAUAAGACGUAAAAGAGUUUUUGAACCUUUACAUAUUUUUUUUGGCUGAACACAAGCUUUCAACACACAGCAUUUCUUUGACAGAAAUUAAACAUAAUGUCAUUAAUUAUUAAUGUUUUACUAUUCUAUAUAGUUUAGUACAUGAGUAAUAUCAAACAUAAGUUGGUCACGUGAACGUGAUACAGUUUAGUGUAUUCCAACUAUUGGAGGAAGGUACAGGAAGAGAGGAAAGAAAAAAGAAGACGACGAAGUCAGUUUAUUUUGAGGCACUUAUUUUUGCAAACUAAGGCCAUAAAAUGUUCACAUUUUACAAUUACAUUCACAGUCACUUGUUCUUUCGAAGGUUGAAUAUAUUCUAACAUUUCUAUUAUAUAUGGAUAGUCGUCCGUCCCAUGUAU